rnacentral:rRNA from 1 species
UACGUAGGCAGCGAGCGUUGUUCGGAAUUACUGGGCGUAAAGAGUGUGUAGGCGGUGUUCCCAGUCUGUUGUGAAAUCUCCCGGCUUAACUGGGAGGGUGCAGCGGAAACUAGAAUGCUAGAGGGUGGGAGAGGUAAGCGGAAUUCCUGGUGUAGCGGUGAAAUGCGUAGAUAUCAGGAGGAACACCCGGGGGGGAGACAGCUUACUGGACCACUUCUGAAGCUGAGGCACGAAAGCGUGGGUAGCAAACAGG